ACGCUCGACACCUACGGGAGCAGCAGUCGGGAAUAUUGCGCAAUGGAGGAAACUCUGACGCAGUGACGCCGCGUGCAGGAAGAAGGUUUUCGGAUUGUAAACUGCUUUAGACAGGGAAGAAGAAGUGACAGUACCUGUAGAAUAAGCUCCGGCUAACUACGUGCCAACAGCCGCGGUAAUCUGAGCGGGCGUGGCAAGGC
rnacentral:rRNA from 1 species